UUUCCUUUCUCGUUCCCCGGCCAUCUUAGCGGCUGCUGUUGGUUGGGGGCCGUCCCGCACCUAAGGCAGGAAGAUGGUGGCCGCAAAGAAGACGAAAAAGUCGCUGGAGUCGAUCAACUCUAGGCUCCAACUCGUUAUGAAAAGUGGGAAGUACGUCCUGGGGUACAAGCAGACUCUGAAGAUGAUCAGACAAGGCAAAGCGAAAUUGGUCAUUCUGGCAAACAACUGCCCAGCUUUGAGAGUUUUGCUGUGUUGCCCAGGCUGGAGUACAAUGGCACGAUCUUGGCUUACUGCAACUUCUGCCUCCCAGGUUCAAGUGAUUCUCCUGCCUCAGCCUCCCAAGUAUCUGGGAUUACAGGCACAUACCACCAUGCCUGGCUAAUUUUUGUAUUUUUAGUAGAGACGGGGUUUCACCAUCUUGGCCAAGCUGAUUUCGAACUCCUGACCUUGUGAUCCACCCACCUUGGCCUCCAAAAUGUUGGAAUUACAGGCGUGAGCCACCGCGCUGGGCCAGAUGAUCUCAUUUCAAACAAUCCAUAAUCUGUGAUAAACAUUCUGUUUUAUAUAUCAAGCAGCUGUCUAAUCUUUCAAAGUGAGGCACAACAAUAUAAGCAUGUAGAGACACACACAUGCAAAACUAUUUCUAUGCCUGGCCAGUAUAACAUGUUUAAUGUCAUAGUGUGUGUGGUGUGUGUGUGUGUGUGUGUGUGUGCGCGCGUGAGUGCGCACAUGUUGGGGGAUUGGGUUCUUCUGUUUCUCCAUUAAGUGCUUUUCCUCAUCACUCAACCUAUCGAUCUUUUAUUAGUGAAAGAGGAAAAGGCCAACUCAAAGCUUCAUUUACAUUCAUAGUCUGUUCCUGAGUGAACCAAAAAAAGACUCAGGCAGCAUGCAUGUGGCUCUUCAGCAGAUUUCAAAAAUACUGAAAUAAUUUUCCAGCAGUGAGUCUGUUUUCUCCUCCUUUCUGUACACAUUUUUCUUACAGAACAAAACUAGCACUUGCAACCCCCACACACAGAAUGGCAUCCAGAAGGCUUCUCCAGGAAACACAAAACAAGGUAGAGUGGAAAAGCAUCAGGGAGAGCAGGGCCCAGGUAUUUGCUUUCAGACACAGGAAGGACAGCCCCACUUGUUAGCUAU
rnacentral:sRNA from 1 species